rnacentral:rRNA from 1 species
UACGAAGGGGGCUAGCGUUGCUCGGAAUUACUGGGCGUAAAGCGCGCGUAGGCGGCUUUGUAAGUUAGAGGUGAAAGCCCGGGGCUCAACCCCGGAAUUGCCUUUAAGACUGCAUCGCUUGAAUCCGGGAGAGGUGAGUGGAAUUCCGAGUGUAGAGGUGAAAUUCGUAGAUAUUCGGAAGAACACCAGUGGCGAAGGCGGCUCACUGGACCGGCAUUGACGCUGAGGUGCGAAAGCGUGGGGAGCAAACAGG